GUCUAUGGCCAUGCCACCCUGAACGUGCCCAAUUCCAAUUGAUCUCAGAAGCUAAGCAGGGUCGGGCCUGGUUAGUACUUGGAUGGGAGACCACCUAGGAAGACCAGGUGCUAUAGGCA
rnacentral:rRNA from 1 species